UAUCCUUUGAUCCCUAAGACGAGACAUAACAUAGCGUCCUUCUAUACUAGUAUCCGAUAAGUGUUUUGUUAGUUUCACUACCGGUGGAAUGAGGGGAUUGAGAAAACCAUUCGAUUGGGGGAUCUUGCAGUUUAGAGUAUUGGGAUGGGAUGUGUUGUCAGAAGUUUGUUUACUUGGAACAGAGGUGGGAGAAGAGGGAUUCAAUGUGUGAGAGUGGACGAAGUGAGGUAGAUAUUCAGAAGAGGAAGCUGGAUUGGAGGUAGAGGUAAUCACAGUAGGUCUGACGUCAGGGCCAGAAGGAGAAACAUUAAAAAAACUCUUUUUGAAGGAGGUUUUAAUGGGGACGGAGGGGACUUCCGUUUAAGAGCAAUAGGGCGUUUGAUUAAAGAGUUCAUAAUAGGUCUUGAAAAAUUAGGGAAAAUUCCUGUUUUGAAUGACCAGUUGGGAUCUGUAUUAUUUUUAGGUGUUUGAGAUUUAGUAGAUUUAGGCGUUUUGGAAUCAGGAUUAUUGUUGGAUAUAUGAGGUUUUUCAGGUUGGAUUAAAUUAGAUUCUGUGAAUGUUGAGAGCUGCAUGCGGCCAAGUUGAAGACCUCCGGAUCGUUGAAAUAGCCAAAUGUAUUUAGAUGGUAUAAGGAUUUUAAAUCGACGUGAGGACAUCGGUAUACAUUUUGUAAUGUCGAUAGCGUAUUUUUUCAUGAAGAAAGAUCGCACCCAUCUUUUGCUGAUUUGGGAGCAUUUUUGAGUAGGAACCAAGUGUUGUUUGCAGCUUCCAUCUUUUGUAUUCGAGCGUUCCAAUCUUUUUUUGUCCACAUAACGCCAAAUUUGUUGAUCCCUUUUGUUCUUGCACGGUUCGGUUGCAUAUUUGGGGUUGGGUUGAGAUUUUGGUUGUUUGAGGUUUCUUCUGCUGUCGCGAGUUCCUCAAAAAUGGAAAGACCUUCAUUCGUUCGCAUUAUAGGUUGUGGAAUAUUAACAAUAGAUGUAUUAAAAAUAGAUGUCGGGGGAUAGAUUUGGGCGGGAAUGUCAUCAAUUUUGGAGGAGGUGGUUUUCAGUUCAUGGGAUAUUUCCCCCAAAGAAAUUCGCGUAACGGCAAUAUCAUUGCUCAUAUCGCUAAGAAUAAGAUUAAGGUCGUUAUUUUUUCGCGAGGGGCCUUGGAGGUGUAUGUCGAGGUCGGUCCGUAUAGAAUUUAUUCCCGACAAAAUAUUUUUGACCGAGUUUUGCAAAUCUUCACGGAGAGAGUCAAAGGGUUUCAAGGGAUUGGCGUUAAUCAUUGAAUGUUUGAUCACUUCCCUAGAUUCAUUUUUGGAUUGUUUUAGAUCGUUCAAGGAAUUGUCAAUUGCGGAUAAUUGUUUAGUCAAAUUAUCGUGACUUUUUUUAUCAAAGUUGAUAGGCUGGAUAUUGAGGUAUCUAGUUCGUCGUAUUGUUUUACCAGCCCAUCAAUUUUGAAAUUUUCGUUGGCAAUUUGUGUGCAUUUAUGAUUUAAAUCAGCAAUUGACUCAUUCACUGUAUCAUUGGCACAUUUAAUCGCAAGAAGAAUGUGGGACAACGAAAUAUUCUUGCAGUCAUCACAAUAAAACACAAACUUGGAAGUAAUUUCAACGAUAUUAAGCGCCACCCUUUUGCUGACUAAGAUGCAUUUGGGGUGAUACAAUUUACCGCACAGACCUCCACACGACACACGAUCGACAAAGAUUUCCGAAUUGCAAGCACUGCACUUUGACAUGGUGAUUGUUUUAUUGUUUUUUAUAUUUUAUUAUGACUUUUUUUCUUUAAUAAAUUAGGUUAAGAGAAUUCGUUUGCACUUAAUGACACAGAUAUGGGUGAGGUUGAGUUUGUUUCGAUUUUUUUAUUUUUUUUUUGUGUGUUACUGGGCUAACAAUAGAGAAGUGCAAAUUAUGUUGUGAUACACUUAUUUGACACUGAUUGAAAUUGGUGGGCAAAGCAGAAGUAGAAUUUUAGCAAUUAUAAAAGAAAAAGGUAAAUUUGGAGCAAAAUAAAAACACGUCCGUACUCGGCGACGAAUGGAAAUUAAUUGAUACAAAAACCACCACCUAUGGAUUUGGAAAAUAUAGGUAUGCUUAUUUUAAAAUUAAUAAAUUUUAUAAUUGUUGAUUUCUCUGUCUUCUAGUGGAGAUCAAUUCCAGACAUCAAUGACUGAGUUUACAGUUCGAAAUUUUCCUCCACGCCAUCCAGAACGAGUGAAACGAAUCUUAUGUUUAGUAGAGAUUACAAUACUUGAGUGUGAUCCACAUUUCACAGACUUGUAGUGUCUGCACCCUCCGACCACUUGCAGAUGUGUUCGCUCUAAUCCUAGACAAAAACAACAUUCAACAAUUCUAUGUUGAGUAUAAAAAUGACGUCAGAGACUCCUUGCUCGCCACACUAUUGGAUGCAGUCUGUUCGAGUGGCAAUCAAGAUGUGCAAGUUCGUAUUACAAAUACAUUGCGAGGAAAGCAUUUUGUUCCCCUCAACAGUUGUGUGGAUGAAGCGACUCUCCUUCGUUUAGUGAUAAAGAAUUUCCAAAAUUCCUGACGUAGAUGUAAGAUUUAAGAGAAAUUCAACGCCAACAUUCCUCAUAGAAGUCUGAAGUAAAGUGUCACACAAGACGUUCAUGUUUUGAUAUACAAUUCGAAUGAAUAAAUCUAAAUCUCUAACCAAAGUUUUAA